GUUCUUCUGUGGAGAUUUGUGGUGCGAUCUCAUGGCGACCGAGAUCCAGCAGCUUGCCAAGGUUGUGGAAGGCCCGGCGAAGAAUUUGAAGAUAGAUCUGCCUGCUAAAGCUGCUGAAGUCAAGAUGCUCGGCACAAAAGAUGGGGCCAUGUCUGAUGCGGCGUCGUGCAUCUCUUCUGUGGAUGCAACGAGCAGUACCAAGGAGAACGAGGCUGAGCAGGAAUCUGUUGUGUCUGAUCAAAGCAUGUAUUAUCCGGUCAAUGGAGUGUAUGGUUACUAUUAUCCAGAAUGGGAUGGUCAGAACUACUACGGGGCUGAUCCUUUGGAAAGUCAGCGCUCUGUCAGUCAACCAGAUAAUGGAUCGGUUAUAUAUUAUUUUCCAGGCUUUCAGCCUGAUUACACAUCUUACAAUUCAUACUUACCUGGAGCUACAGUCAAUGUUGAUGGGCAGUAUUUAGCUCAACCUCUCUAUUAUCCAAGUUCACCAUUUUCUCCAACGUUCCUCUCUCCGGGGCUUUAUCCUCAAUCAGUUGCUUAUGGACCAGAGAUGGUCCCUGCAUAUUCGUGGGAUUCUUAUCCUAUAUACACUGAUGGCUUUUAUGGUAAUAUGGAUGGUGAUUCAACAUACUCGGCACCCAAACCUAAUUUCUCUUCCCAUACUCUUUCCAAAACUUACCCUCCGAAGUCUGAUAUUGCUGAUAAGAAAGGAUCCUCAAUAACAGUGGAUGUACCACGAAAUCCAACCAGUCAAAGUCAUCACCUUAAGCCGUCAAAUAAGGCGUCUGCGCUAUCUAAAGGAAUUCUUCCUGCAAAAAAGCUUCCACAAUAUGAUGCAUAUCCCAUCCAAGGAAAAUUGUACCCGUACAACAACACAAGUAUCAAAGAAAGUGGGCGAACUUGGGCUGGGACUGAGAAGCCGAAGGCAAGAAAUAAGGUUCAUGGAUAUGGAGAUUUCGAUAUGCAGAAUGAACAGAACCGUGGUCCAAGAACAACUGGUGGCAAGACUAACUUCGUGUCUGAUCCAGUUGGAUCUUUUGGGAUUGAGGGGAAUGGUGCUUCUAAUCUGGUUGUGAGGAAGGAAGAAUACAAUCUUGUAGAUUUUCCGAUCAAGUACGAACAUGCUUUGUUCUUUGUGAUAAAAUCAUACAGUGAAGAUGAUAUUCACAAAAGUAUCAAGUAUAAUGUCUGGGCGAGCACCCCAAAUGGAAAUAAGAGACUCGACAAUGCUUUUCAACUCGCUCAAGAGAAAAUGACUGAAAAGGGCAGCAAGUGUCCGAUCUUCCUCUUUUUCUCUGUCAAUGCAAGCGGCCAGUUCUGUGGUGUCGCCGAGAUGAUCGGCCGAGUAGAUUUUUGCAAGACCAUGGAUUUCUGGCAACAAGAUAAGUGGACUGGGUACUUCCCUGUGAAGUGGCACAUAAUCAAAGAUGUCCCAAAUCCACAGUUCCGUCAUGUGAUUUUGGAGAACAAUGAAAACAAGCCUGUCACAAACAGUAGAGACACUCAAGAGGUGAAAUUUGUCCAAGGCACUGAAAUCUUGAACAUCUUCAAAAACUACUCUUCGAAAACUUCCAUACUCGACGACUUCGGUUUCUACGAAAAUCGGCAGAAAGCAAUGCAACAAGACAGGAGGAUCAAAGAUCCUAUUCCGAAUGUGGAGCUUCUGUCACUGAAAGCUGAUGACAAGGUUGAAGUCCAGGCCACUGAUCAGAAUGCCAUUGCUUCUGGUAUAGCAUCAAUUGAA
rnacentral:misc_RNA from 1 species